CCUACGGGUGGCUGCAGUAGGGAAUCUUCCGCAAUGGACGAAAGCCUGACGGAGCAACGCCGCGUGAGUGAAGAAGGUUUUCGGAUCGUAAAACUCUGUUGUUAAAGAAGAACAAGGAUGAGAGUAACUGCUCAUCCCUUGACGGUAUCUAACCAGAAAGCCACGGCUAACUACGUGCCAGCAGCCGCGGUAAUACGUAGGUGGCAAGCGUUGUCCGGAUUUAUUGGGCGUAAAGCGAGCGCAGGCGGUUCUUUAAGUCUGAUGUGAAAGCCCCCGGCUCAACCGGGGAGGGUCAUUGGAAACUGGAGAACUUGAGUGCAGAAGAGGAGAGUGGAAUUCCACGUGUAGCGGUGAAAUGCGUAGAUAUGUGGAGGAACACCAGUGGCGAAGGCGACUCUCUGGUCUGUAACUGACGCUGAGGCACGAAAGCGUGGGGAGCAAACAGGAUUAGAUACCCCUGUAGUC
rnacentral:rRNA from 1 species